AAACUAACAAGGAUUCCCCUAGUAACUGCGAGUGAAGCGGGAAAAGCUCAAAUUUAAAAUCUGGCGGUCUUUGGCUGUCCGAGUUGUAAUCUAGAGAAGUGUUAUCCGCGCUGGACCGUGUACAAGUCUCCUGGAAUGGAGCGUCAUAGAGGGUGAGAAUCCCGUCUUUGACACGGACUGCCAGUGCUUUGUGAUGCGCUCUCAAAGAGUCGAGUUGUUUGGGAAUGCAGCUCAAAAUGGGUGGUAAAUUCCAUCUAAAGCUAAAUAUUGGCGAGAGACCGAUAGCGAACAAGUACCGUGAGGGAAAGAUGAAAAGAACUUUGGAAAGAGAGUUAAACAGUACGUGAAAUUGUUGAAAGGGAAACGCUUGAAGUCAGUCGCGUCGUCCGGGGAUCAACCUUGCUUUUGCUGGGUGUACUUUCCGGUUGACGGGUCAGCAUCAAUUUUGACCGUUGGAUAAAGUUCAGGGGAAUGUGGCAUCUUCGGAUGUGUUAUAGCCCUUGGUCGCAUACAACGAUUGGGAUUGAGGAACUCAGCACGCCGCAAGGCCGGGAAUUUAUUCCACGUUCGUGCUCAGGAUGCUGGCAUAAUGGCUUUAAUCGACCCGUCUUGAAACACGGACCAAGGAGUCUAACAUGCCUGCGAGUGUUUGGGUGGAAAACCCGAGCGCGUAAUGAAAGUGAAAGUUGAGAUCCCUGUCGCGGGGAGCAUUGACGCCCGGACCAGACCUUUUGUGACGGAUCCGCGGUAGAGCAUGUAUGUUGGGACCCGAAAGAUGGUGAACUAUGCCUGAAUAGGGUGAAGCCAGAGGAAACUCUGGUGGAGGCUCGUAGCGAUUCUGACGUGCAAAUCGAUCGUCAAAUUUGGGUAUAGGGGCGAAAGACUAAUCGAACCAUCUNNNNNNNNNNNNNNNNN
rnacentral:rRNA from 1 species